ACCGCAGACCGCCUUAUCGUCCCGACUUGUCGGGGAGGAAAGUCCGGACACCACAGAGUAGCAUAGCGGGUAACGCCCGUCCGUCGAGAGGCGAGGACAAGUGCAACAGAAAGUAUGUACAGGUUAAGCUGUAGUGAAACCAGGUAAACUCUAUGCGGUGAAAUUCCAAGUAUAUCGGCAUUUAAGGAUUACUCGUCCGUUGUCGAAGGGUAGGAAGCUCGAUCUCGUUGGUAACAACGAGACUAGAUAAAUGAUAAGGGUUUCGAGCAAUCGAGAUACAGAAUCCGGCUUAUAGGUCUGCUUUUUUU
rnacentral:RNase_P_RNA from 1 species